GUGGCUUAAACUCAAUGAGUAAGGAAACUAACGCUCUACCUGACAAGUAGGGCUGCCUUUUGGGUCUAGUGAUCCAUGGGUUAUUAAUUUUGACGGAGUUGGAAUGGCCGUCAUCGAAGGAACUUGCUGGCUCGCUACUUUUGAGCUGGCAGGUGACAACAAUGGGGCCG
rnacentral:snRNA from 1 species